rnacentral:pre_miRNA from 1 species
UUGGUGGUGCAAAAGUGCUUAUAGUGCAAGUAGUCAAGCGGUCUCUACUGCAGUGUUAGCACUUCAGUGACACAAU